rnacentral:rRNA from 1 species
GACGAACGCUGUCGGCGUGCUUAACACAUGCAAGUCGAACGGAAAGGCCCUGCUUUUGUGGGGUGCUCGAGUGGCGAACGGGUGAGUAACACGUGAGUAACCUGCCCUUGACUUUGGGAUAACUUCAGGAAACUGGGGCUAAUACCGGAUAGGAGCUCCUGCUGCAUGGUGGGGGUUGGAAAGUUUCGGCGGUUGGGGAUGGACUCGCGGCUUAUCAGCUUGUUGGUGGGGUAGUGGCUUACCAAGGCUUUGACGGGUAGCCGGCCUGAGAGGGUGACCGGCCACAUUGGGACUGAGAUACGGCCCAGACUCCUACGGGAGGCAGCAGUGGGGAAUAUUGCACAAUGGGCGGAAGCCUGAUGCAGCAACGCCGCGUGCGGGAUGACGGCCUUCGGGUUGUAAACCGCUUUCGCCUGUGACGAAGCGUGAGUGACGGUAAUGGGUAAAGAAGCACCGGCUAACUACGUGCCAGCAGCCGCGAUGAUACGUAGGGUGCGAGCGUUGUCCGGAUUUAUUGGGCGUAAAGGGCUCGUAGGUGGUUGAUCGCGUCGGAAGUGUAAUCUUGGGGCUUAACCCUGAGCGUGCUUUCGAUACGGGUUGACUUGAGGAAGGUAGGGGAGAAUGGAAUUCCUGGUGGAGCGGUGGAAUGCGCAGAUAUCAGGAGGAACACCAGUGGCGAAGGCGGUUCUCUGGGCCUUUCCUGACGCUGAGGAGCGAAAGCGUGGGGAGCGAACAGGCUUAGAUACCCUGGUAGUCCACGCUGUAAACGGUGGGUACUAGGUGUGGGGUCCAUUCCACGGGUUCCGUGCCGUAGCUAACGCUUUAAGUACCCCGCCUGGGGAGUACGGCCGCAAGGCUAAAACUCAAAGGAAUUGACGGGGCCCCGCACAAGCGGCGGAGCAUGCGGAUUAAUUCGAUGCAACGCGUAGAACCUUACCUGGGUUUGACAUGGAUCGGGAGUGCUCAGAGAUGGGUGUGCCUCUUUUGGGGUCGGUUCACAGGUGGUGCAUGGCUGUCGUCAGCUCGUGUCGUGAGAUGUUGGGUUAAGUCCCGCAACGAGCGCAACCCUUGUUCACUGUUGCCAGCACGUUAUGGUGGGGACUCAGUGGAGACCGCCGGGGUCAACUCGGAGGAAGGUGGGGAUGACGUCAAGUCAUCAUGCCCCUUAUGUCCAGGGCUUCACGCAUGCUACAAUGGCUGGUACAGAGAGUGGCGAGCCUGUGAGGGUGAGCGAAUCUCGGAAAGCCGGUCUCAGUUCGGAUUGGGGUCUGCAACUCGACCUCAUGAAGUCGGAAUCGCUAGUAAUCGCAGAUCAGCAACGCUGCGGUGAAUACGUUCCCGGG